UGGGGAAUAUUGCACAAUGGGCGAAAGCCUGAUACAGCGACGCCGCGUGAGGGAUGACGGCCUUCGGGUUGUAAACCUCUUUCAGCAGGGAAGAAGCGAAAGUGACGGUACCUGCAGAAGAAGCGCCGGCUAACUACGUGCCAGCAGCCGCGGUAAUACGUAGGGCGCAAGCGUUGUCCGGAAUUAUUGGGCGUAAAGAGCUCGUAGGCGGUUAGUCGCGUCUGCUGUGAAAACUCGAGGCUCAACCUCGGGCUUGCAGUGGGUACGGGCUGACUAGAGUGCGGUAGGGGUGACUGGAAUUCCUGGUGUAGCGGUGGAAUGCGCAGAUAUCAGGAGGAACACCGAUGGCGAAGGCAGGUCACUGGGCCGCAACUGACGCUGAGGAGCGAAAGCAUGGGGAGCGAACAGGAUUAGAUACCCUGGUAGUCCAUGCCGUAAACGUUGGGCACUAGGUGUGGGGUCCAUUCCACGGAUUCCGUGCCGCAGCAAACGCAUUAAGUGCCCCGCCUGGGGAGUACGGCCGCAAGGCUAAAACUCAAAGGAAUUGACGGGGUC
rnacentral:rRNA from 1 species